rnacentral:rRNA from 1 species
AAUCAACAUUUUAACUGCAGUCUCGCACCCCUGUGAAAAUGCCCUUCUUUACCUAUUAGUAAAUAAGGAGCGGAUAUCAGGCACAAUUUAUGCCCAUAACAUCUUGCCAAGCCACACCUCUACAGGAAUUCAGCAGUGAUAAACAUUGAAAUUCGUGCCAGCCCCCGCGGUUAUACGAGAAACUCAAAUUAAUAAAAACGGCCUAAAGCGUGAUUAAAUUAUAUUAAAAUAAAUAGAAAUAAAAAUUAACUCGACUGUUAUACGUAUAUGUUAAACGGUAAACCAAAAACGAAAGAUAUUCUAACAAAUAAACUACUUGAACCCCCGAAAGCUAAGAAACAAACUAGGAUUAGAUACCCUACUAUGCUCAGCCUUAAACUUUGGAACAACCCGCCUGAGUACUACGAGCCACAGCUUAAAACUCAAAGGACUUGGCGGUGCUCUACACCCCAAAAAUAGUAGGCAUAAAAACGUCCGGUCAAGGUGUAGGUCAAGGUGUAGCGAAUUAGGUGGAAAGAAAUGGGCUACCUUUUUUAAACUAGAAAAUACGAUAGAGUGUUCUUUUUAAAUAGGCCAUAGAGGGCGCACACACCGCCCGUCACCCUCCUCAGAAAAACAACUAAUUUAUAUAAAAGAAUAGAAGCCACC